AAUAAAAUCUUAAAAAAAAAGACUGGUGGCCAUGAAUCCAAGGCAAGGAUCAGUGACUAAUCAACUAUACCAAAUGGUGAUUGGGUGAGUUGAAUGAGGAUGGGAUUUAACCAUCAAAGGUAUUGGGGACCUUUCAAAAGCUGGCUUUAUAGAACAAGAUGUGCCAAAGUCUUCUUGGAAUAGAUUUCUUUUUUUUUUUUAAUUUUUAUUUAUUAUUUAUGAUAGUCACAGAGAGAGAGAGAGGCAGAGACAUAGGCAGAGGGAGAAGCAGGCUCCAUGCACCGGGAGCCCGACGUGGGAUUCGAUCCCGGGUCUCCAGGAUCAUGCCCUGGGCCAAAGGCAGGCGCCAAACCGCUGCGCCACCCAGGGAUCCCUGGAAUAGAUUUCUGAGAAAUAUAUAGAUUGUCCAUCUUUUUUUACCUUGCCCAUCCUAAAUAUUGUACUUCUCUUUGACCUUACAAUUUGUAUCAUGAUACUCCAGCUUUACAUUAUAUUCUUAGUUUACUAUUGCUGCUAUAACAAACUACCAAGCAAGGACUAAGACAACUAAAAUUUUAUGUAACAGUUUUGGAGUUCAGAAUUCUGAAAAGGGUCUCAGUGAACUAAAAUCAAGAUGUGAAUAGGACCAUAUUUCUCCCUGGAGGCUCGAGGGGGUGAAUCUGUUUCUUUUUUCCAGCUUCUAGAUGGCUUCCGCUUUCCUUUCUGUGUGGAUCUUUUUUCCUUCUUGAAGAUCAGCAAUAUCAGUUCAGGUCUCAUACUACCAUCUCUUUGACUCUUCUGCUUUUCCUCCUCCUCCCCCCCACUUUUUUUAAGUAAACUCUACUCUGCAAUGUGGGGCUCAAACUCAAGACCCUAAGAUCAAGAGUUGCAUGCUCUCCUGAGCCAGCCAGGCACCCCACCUCUACUACAUUAUUUUAGAGCUGUUUUGUGAUCCCCUUCCCCCAUUCUGGUAAAAGAAAUACAGUGAAACAGUAUGAACAGGGAGAGGCAGGAGAGGAAGAGAGACCAGCCGACUGACUGACUGCCUGCUGAGUGCAGAGCCCAACAUGGGGCUUGAU
rnacentral:lncRNA from 1 species